UGUGAAAUAGUUGUUAUUAUAACACCUCAAUAGUCACACAUUUAGAUGGAAAAAAGAUUAAAUUAGAAAUAUACAAGAAUCAUGAUACGUGAAUAAUAAUAAUUAAGUUUAAGUAUUUUGUGCCUGUAGUUUGGAUUGAAGUAAUUAUUAGUUGCUAGUGAACUGAAUCGCUGUAUCUAGUAAUAGAGUCGAUGACCAGUCAAAAGUAUAAAUUGUAGCGUGUCCAAAUU
rnacentral:lncRNA from 1 species